rnacentral:rRNA from 1 species
UACGUAGGUGGCAAGCGUUGUCCGGAAUUAUUGGGCGUAAAGCGCGCGCAGGCGGUCCUUUAAGUCUGAUGUGAAAGCCCACGGCUCAACCGUGGAGGGUCAUUGGAAACUGGGGGACUUGAGUGCAGAAGAGGAGAGUGGAAUUCCACGUGUAGCGGUGAAAUGCGUAGAGAUGUGGAGGAACACCAGUGGCGAAGGCGACUCUCUGGUCUGUAACUGACGCUGAGGCGCGAAAGCGUGGGGAGCGAACAGG